CUACCCACUACCAUACCCACUACCAUACCCCCUACCAUACCCAUUACCAUACCCACUACCCACUGCCAUACCCACUACCAUACCCAUUACCAUACCCAUUACCAUACCCACUACCAUACCCACUACCAUACCCCCAGGCCAUCCUCCAAAAGUCUUUGCCUCACUGUGCGUGCAGAUGCACUCACACAUGCCUGCUGCCAUUCCUGAGCAAGCUCUGUACUGGUGGUGCCCAGAUCCCGCAGCUGAAUCAACUUUAGGAGACGGUCCUGGCGCUUGCUGGACUUUCUUGGGCGCCCUGAAGCCUUCUUCACAACAAUUGAAUCGCUCUCCUUGAAGCUCUUGAUGAUCCUAUAAAUGGUUGAUUUAGGUGCAAUCUUACUGGCAGCAAUAUCCUUGCCUGUGAAGGCUGUUUCCUUGCAGGUAACCAUGUUUGACAGAGGAAGAACAAUGAUUCCAAGCACCACCCUCCUUUUGAAGCUUCCAGUCUGUUAUGCGAACUCAAUCAGCAUGACAGAGUGAUCUCCAGCCGUGUCCUCGUCAACACUCACACCUGUGUUAACGAGAGAAACACUGACAUGAUGUCAGCUGGUCCUUUUGUGGCAGGGAAGAAAUGCAGUGGAAAUGUUUUUUGGGGGGGAUUCAGUUCAUUUGCAUGGCAAAGAGGGACUUUGCAAUCAAUUGCAAUCAAUACACUGAUUGAAAUGGACUUAACAAGAGACGUCAAUAAGGGAUCAUAGCUUUCACCUGGUCAGUCCAGGGGCAGCACGGAGCCUAGUGGUUAGAGAGUUGGACUAGUAACCAAAAGGUUGCAAGAUUGAAUCCCUGAGCUGACAAGGUCUAAAUCUGUCCUUCUGCCCCUGAACAAGGCAGUUUGUUCUUAACUGACUUGCCUAGUUAAAUAAAGGUAAAAUAAAUGUCAUUGAAAGAACAGGUGUUCAUAAUGUUUUGUACACUCAGUGUAUAUGUAAAUAAUAUAAAUUAAAUGUAAACACACAUUGAAGUAAAUGUAAAGCCCAUUGAAGCGAAUGUAAUGCAUUUCAGCACAGGGUAUUACACCUGUCAAACUAAUCAAUCACUCACCACCAGCAUUUACUACAGGACUGAGGUCACGUCUCCGUGUUUCACAGCUGUGUUGUGAUUGGAUACGUUUUGCAGUUCUGGGCUCUCAUUGGAUGAGUUUGGCAGUUGUGGGCUUUCAUCUCACACUGUGUCAAUUGUUCCCAUUGAGUUAUUUGUUGUAAAUUGUCAUCAGUUGUCACUGUGUCAGACUGUCCUAUUAGGUCUCUGUUCUGUCUGUCACUGUGUCAGACUGUCCUAUUAGGUCUCUGUUCUGUCUGUCACUGUGUCAGACUGUCCUAUUAGGUCUCUGUUCUGUCUGUCACUGUGUCAGACUGUCCUAUUAGGUCUCUGUUCUGUCUGUCACUGUGUCAGACUGUCCUAUUAGGUCUCUGUUCUGUCUGUCACUGUGUCAGACUGUCCUAUUAGGUCUCUGUUCUGUCUGUCACUGUGUCAGACUGUCCUAUUAGGUCUCUGUUCUGUCUGUCACUGUGUCAGACUGUCCUAUUAGGUCUCUGUUCUGUCUGUCACUGUGUCAGACUGUCCUAUUAGGUCUCUGUUCUGUCUGUCACUGUGUCAGACUGUCCUAUUAGGUCUCUGUUCUGUCUGUCACUGUGUCAGACUGUCCUAUUAGGUCUCUGUUCUGUCUGUCACUGUGUCAGACUGUCCUAUUAGGUCUCUGUUCUGUCUGUCACUGUGUCAGACUGUCCUAUUAGGUCUCUGUUCUGUCUGUCACUGUGUCAGACUGUCCUAUUAGGUCUCUGUUCUGUCUGUCACUGUGUCAGACUGUCCUAUUAGGUCUCUGUUCUGUCUGUCACUGUGUCAGACUGUCCUAUUAGGUCUCUGUUCUGUCUGUCACUGUGUCAGACUGUCCUAUUAGGUCUCUGUUCUGUCUGUCACUGUGUCAGACUGUCCUAUUAGGUCUCUGUUCUGUCUGUCACUGUGUCAGACUGUCCUAUUAGGUCUCUGUUCUGACUGUCACUGUGUCAGACUGUCCUAUUAGGUCUCUGUUCUGACUGUCACUGUGUCAGACUGUCCUAUUAGGUCUCUGUUCUGUCUGUUACUGUGUCAGACUGUCCUAUUAGGUCUCUGUUCUGACUGUCCUAGCAGGUCUCUGUUCUGACUGUCCUAGCAGGUCUCUGUUCUGACUGUCCUAGCAGGUCUCUGUUCUGACUGUCCUAGCAGGUCUCUGUUCUGACUGUCCUAGCAGGUCUCUGUUCUGACUGUCCUAGCAGGUCUCUGUUCUGACUGUCUAGCAGGUCUCUGUUCUGACUGUCCUAGCAGGUCUCUGUUCUGACUGUCUAGCAGGUCUCUGUUCUGACUGUCUAGCAGGUCUCUGUUCUGACUGUCCUUGCAGGUCUCUGUUCUGACUGUCCUUGCAGGUCUCUGUUCUGACUGUCCUAGCGGGUCUCCACACCAUUCUGCGAGUACUAUUCUGUCUGUAAAGUCAAAUACCCUGGUUGCUCGUUUUAUGUUUUCUAUUGUAAACAAUGAGAUGCUUUUGGAAUAAAAGUAAUAAAAAACAUUCCAGUUAGCUACAGCUGUACCGCUGUGUGACUCUG